rnacentral:rRNA from 1 species
AUGCUAUCCCACGGCAUGCUCAGAUAAGUUAGCUCAUCGUAUGACUCAGACUACGUGCGACGAGUAGCAGCUCCCUUACUACGAUACCAGAGGGGCACACGUUGACGUUUCUGUAAUAUCAGCCGUAGAAAAGUUUCGCGGUAGCUAGUAUACGCAGAUACUCCGCGUCUGUUGCGCCCCCGUACAUUCCUUGGGAUUUAGCAGUGGUGCCGAUAGUGGCCAGGGGGGUCCUUGAGGCGUAGCUGCGCACAGAUCGACGUGGAAAGUCGCCACACGAAGGCCCCACCGUUUACGCCUUGAUUUUGAUUUCAUGCUCAGGACGAACGCUGGCGGCGUGCUUAACACAUGCAAGUCGAACGAUGAACCACUUCGGUGGGGAUUAGUGGCGAACGGGUGAGUAACACGUGGGCAAUCUGCCCUGCACUCUGGGACAAGCCCUGGAAACGGGGUCUAAUACCGGAUACUGACCCGCUUGGGCAUCCAAGCGGUUCGAAAGCUCCGGCGGUGCAGGAUGAGCCCGCGGCCUAUCAGCUUGUUGGUGAGGUAAUGGCUCACCAAGGCGACGACGGGUAGCCGGCCUGAGAGGGCGACCGGCCACACUGGGACUGAGACACGGCCCAGACUCCUACGGGAGGCAGCAGUGGGGAAUAUUGCACAAUGGGCGAAAGCCUGAUGCAGCGACGCCGCGUGAGGGAUGACGGCCUUCGGGUUGUAAACCUCUUUCAGCAGGGAAGAAGCGGAAGUGACGGUACCUGCAGAAGAAGCGCCGGCUAACUACGUGCCAGCAGCCGCGGUAAUACGUAGGGCGCGAGCGUUGUCCGGAAUUAUUGGGCGUAAAGAGCUCGUAGGCGGCUUGUCACGUCGGUUGUGAAAGCCCGGGGCUUAACCCCGGGUCUGCAGUCGAUACGGGCAGGCUAGAGUUCGGUAGGGGAGAUCGGAAUUCCUGGUGUAGCGGUGAAAUGCGCAGAUAUCAGGAGGAACACCGGUGGCGAAGGCGGAUCUCUUGGCCGAUACUGACGCUGAGAGCGAAAGCUGACCCCC